rnacentral:lncRNA from 1 species
GCUUUUGGAGCAAAAAGUGAGCUUGAAUUGAAAAGGACAUGCUUGGAACGCAAGGUUGGGAUGGAAUUGAAGAAUUGAAGAUUUGAGGUUUCCUACUUGAAGUAGGAAAGCUAAGCCUAAAAGUUUCCAUUUUGGGUCGAUCUUUCCUAAAUCGGAAUUGGCAACCAAAGUUUCUAAAAGUUGAAAGUUUCUAUUCUUGGAGGUUUCCAUUUUCGAGAGUUUCUAUUCUUGGCGUUGGGCUUUUAGAUGACCUAAACCCAAAUUUCCUUGUGGACCUUCAACCCAUGCCGAACCCUAGGGCCUAAUCAUCUAAAAUCUGCCAUGUUAAACCCUAGUCCAUUCCUCCUAAACCCAAGCCGCACCUUUCCACCUAGAAGCCCUAUUUUACAAACCCUAAACCCUAGUCCACUUAAGUGCCGCACCUAACCCUAGCCCAUUAUUAAAAAUCUGAUUUCAUUAGGGUUUCUAAGUGCCUAUAUAUACCACCCUUACACCCUAGCCGCAGACUCUCUCCCUCUCCAUAUUCAGAAAUUCGUCAAAACCCUAUUCCCCACUUUGCCGCAGCCUUCAUCCAUUCCAGCCACCAUUCUCCACCUCUAUACACCAUCCUACACCUCCAUACACCACCCACACACCUCGCCGCACCCCCAUACCAUCCUAAUUCCCUUCCUACAUCAAAAAUCACAUCCAAAAACCCCCAAAAACCAUCUCUGCCGCAGCAAGGAGAAGAAGAAAGAGGAGCUUUCUGUGCAGAUUUCAAAGUGGACUUCUUUGGCAUUUUAG